AGUGAACGCUGGCGGUAUGCCUAACACAUGCAAGUCGAACGGCAGCACAAUAAGAGCUUGCUCUUACGGGUGGCGAGUGGCGGACGGGUGAGGAAUACAUCGGAAUCUACUUUUUCUUGGGGGAUAACGUAGGGAAACUUACGCUAAUACCGCAUACGACCUACGGGUGAAAGCAGUGGUUCUUCAGACCUUGCGCGAUUGAAUGAGCCGAUGUCGGAUUAGCUAGUUGGCUGGGUAAAGGCCCACCAAGGCGACGAUCCGUAGCUGGUCUGAGAGGAUGAUCAGCCACACUGGAACUGAGACACGGUCCAGACUCCUACGGGAGGCAGCAGUGGGGAAUAUUGGACAAUGGGCGAAAGCCUGAUCCAGCAAUACCGCGUGGGUGAAGAAGGCCUUCGGGUUGUAAAGCCCUUUUAUUGGGAAAGAAAAGCAGCAGGUUAAUCCCCCGCUGUUCUGACGGUACCUAAAGAAUAAGCAACGGCUAACUUCGUG
rnacentral:rRNA from 1 species